ACAAUUCUCUAGUCUCUGCUCUCCUCCUCUCGCACUCAGAUCUUCCUCUGUUCUUGCGCUAGCUAUUGCUUCCCCGGUUCUGUCCACCUGCGCGCACGGGUGACAGGAUGAGCAGGCCUCCAGAACUCCGUCCGCUUGCGUACCUACACGGGAGCUGGAGGGAACGGUCCUGCACCAGGAGCUAGAGGGAACGGCGGCGCUCCAGGAGACAACACCAACGGAGGCAAUACAAAUACCUCAACCUCCACUGCACUGUUUUCUAGAGGGAUGAUGGGACGAUAUCAAGACCGAGGCUGCUACUAUGUAGGAGUAGUCGAGCCGCUGAGUGGUUCAUUGAGACAAAAUGUGAAUUUGUGAUUCACUUGUUUUCAUUCCUUGUUCUUGUAUUUGAUUGUCAUGACACGAUACCAAUUGUAUGCGUCCACAUUACAUAUUGUCCAGUAAGUUCUUCCCAAUGUAUUAGGCUC